ACAAUGGCACAGAUCAUUAUGGGGACAAUGGUACUCUUUAUGAUGGGGACUAUAGUACAAUUCAUGGAUGUGGACUGUGGUACAAUUCAUUAGGGAGGAGGCUGAGACAUGUGGCGGCAGUCGGCUGUCAUCGGAUCCCCAGGCCAGAGGCAGAGGCAGGUCAAGCUGCAGAUGAGGAGAAAUGACCGCCCCAAGGGUACAGAGGGAUCCAUUAACCAGGCUCAAAAGACAAUGCAAAAUGUUUACACUUACAACUUGCAAAAACACUCCACCCUGCUCCUUCCAGAUCCCUUCUGUCAAGCCUGUUUAUAAUUCUUACUUCUUUAUAAAGGCCCCGAUUACAUUUCCAUGUUUUUUAUGUCAAUAUUGAUCUGGAUACCACCAAAGCGCUUUUUACCCCAUUUGAGGAGAUCUGCAGCCAUAGACACUUAUCCCCUAUAUUCAGACCACGCCUGACGAAAAAGCCAGAAAGGCUUUGAAACGCGUUGCGUGGAUCCUUUGUGUGCAAUAAAUUUACCUAUAUAUACUUCUUGUGGCAGCGCGAUUCAUCUCCCUUUCUUGGAUCUCCUUUUAUCUACAUUUGCGCCUGGACGCUGGGAGCCGCAGCAGCCGCGAUUACAGGAUUCCUGAUCAAGCGCAUUGAGUGUUGUGCCUCCAUUCGCACAACUCGCAUAGUAACCCUACUUUUAUCUGUAGAACUAAGCAUUUAAGCCAUUGAAGGCAAGGGUGUAUUUACCAUAGUGGCAGACCAUGCGACUACUUAGAGGCCUUUGGAGAUAGGGGGCCCCGUCCAGGUUGGUCCCAUUCUUUUUCUAUUGGUAAGAAACUCCUCUCUUUAGGGAAAUAAUGGAGAGGGAUACUGACCAAUGGGUCAUGGAAAGCAAGAAGAAAUAAACA